CAAUACCUGCUUUACUUCCCCACUCUCAAGUCCUACAUAUAAGCUUGCUAGUCAAUACAUCAUCGUUUUUUUCCUAUUCUUAAAACAUAAUUUAACUCAUAUCCUUUUAUAUACGAUGUUUAAUUUACACAUCUACUUUUUUUUACAAACAAAAAAGAAAUAACUCAUAUCCUAUAUUGUGUGUCAUCCAAAUUCGAAUGCAGAGCAGAAACCCCACAUGGACAGCCUGAGCCUGUGGAAGACCAAGCGUGCACCAACGUCUGUUCUCUUGCUUUGUUA